rnacentral:rRNA from 1 species
CAGUCGCCGCGGUAAUACGGAGGGAGCUAGCGUUGUUCGGAAUCACCGGGCGUAAAGCGCACGUAGGCGGCUAUUCAAGUCAGGGGUGAAAGCCCGGGGCUCAACCCCGGAACUGCCUUUGAAACUAGAUAGCUUGAAUCUUGGAGAGGCGAGUGGAAUUCCGAGUGUAGAGGUGAAAUUCGUAGAUAUUCGGAAGAACACCAGUGGCGAAGGCGACUCGCUGGACAAGUAUUGACGCUGAGGUGCGAAAGUGUGGGGAGCAAACAGGAUUAGAUACCCCAGUAGUCCCUGUCUCUUAUAC